rnacentral:tRNA from 1 species
GCCGGUUUAGCAUAAUAUGAAGUGCAGAAGAUUGUAAAUCUUUUGGUGAUUAAUUCAGCUGGAA